AGUGGAUAAGUAGUAAAGCUAUAAUACGUUUUAGCAGACUACACUGCAAAAAGAGACGUGUUAAAACUGACACAUGUAGUGCAGAAUUGUAACACGUGUGGUGAGUGUGCACAGAGACAACUGAUGUGUCAAAUACAAUGUGUGCGUUAAGAUGGGUCACACAUCUAUUGUGUAAUGUCAUUUAACUCAGAAUAAGAAACUGCUAAUCAAUAAUAAGCAUUACAGUGCAUGCACAGAGGCACAACAAAAUGUUCUAAAUCUCAUUUUCAUAAAUGCAUUUCAAAUUACACAAAUGCCUUGUAUAAUGCACUACAUUAGCAUGGGCUACAAGAGUGUUCCCAACAUCAACUAGCUACAGCUUGGAUGAUUGAAAAUCAUACACAGUCAAGUUUAGCAGAUAACAUUCGUGACCCUGGACCACGCAGUCUUAUAACGAAGUCAGUCAUGUAGAAAACGAAUAUUAUGUGACAAAGUAAUCAGUGUGAAACCAACGCGAUGUCAUGUUUUGCCCGUCGUCUGCCCUAAUCACGCCCACGCGCUUCUGAUCGUCCACGUGAGAGGCGCGCGCACCACAGCAAACAAAGCAGCACCUUUCCUCGAGUUCUUAUCGGACGGGUGCUUCGUUCCUGAAAAAAGAAACGUAUCCAAUCACAAUGGAGAAAUGACUUUUAACUUGAUCUGAGGGAGCUUCAGACAUCAGACAAGACACGCAUGGCUCUGAAGCUUGAGAGAGCGAGGAGACGAGGGACAGAGAGAAGGGACAGUGGAGAUGCAUGCAUGCUUGAGGUGACAGAAAGUGUAGAGACAGAGGAUCAGGAGGAGAGUACAGUGAACAGAGAGGAAGAUGAUCAUGAGCUGAUGACAAUAACAGAAGCAUGAGAUUAACGGACGCCAUAGGCCAUUCACCACAAUAACCAAUACUUCCCUUCAGAAUCAUCUGCUUUAUGACAGACAUCACAUGAGCCCAUACCAAUGCUUCAAACAGUAUGCACCAGAUGCACUCUUCGAUCUGAUGUCUGAAUGCUGUCCACACAACCAUGUGUGUUGACCUUUCACACAUCUAUUUUUGCAGUGUAAUUAAUCACAUUUACACCUAUGUGUUGAUGGAUUUGUUUAUUCACAUAUAUUUAAAUAUAUUUUCACAAGAAAGAUAGGACUAGCUGCUUGAUAUGGCAGUAUACUAUCAGUAGGCUAUAUAUCAAUUUAUUUGUCAACUAUUA